AACCACGGAGGGAGGGAGAGACACCUGAGAGUGGCGACGCUGGCAAUUUCCGUCGGCCGGGUUCCUCUUCGGCGUCACCGGAUGGAGAAGCGGCGCCACCACCUGGGCAAGAUAUCAUAGUAACACCAAAAAGGGUCGGAUCUCAGUUGCUUCAACUAUAUUCAUUAAGACCCACCCACCCGCACCAAGGUGCAGAACGGUCAGCAAUUAUAUUCAUAUUACGUUCAGUUUUCUUGCAAAUACUUUAACCAGAGUUUCAUUUUUGUCGCUUCCUGAUCAAGCUGUGCAAUUAUUCAUUCUUUAUGGCAUAUAAUCAUAUCUGUAUGAAACGAACUGAAGUCCGCCUGGCAGUACGCGUCCCAAUAAAGAAAUUUUACCAAAAAUUACUGCGUUAGAAUU